GUAACUAUUCCUUCAUACAAAGAUCAACAUAAUUCUGGAAAUUUCCAAAGAGAGAGAGAAAGGGAGUUCUUGAGAAAAAUCCCAAAUCCGACCAAAAUUAAGUCCCGAAAUCCGAAGCUCAUGAAGAGAAAAUUGUUGUACGUCGUGUUGGCUUCAAUUUGAGCUAGAAAUCAACCAAUAAGGAGAAGAUUUUAUGUGGUGCUGCAAAUUCAAGGUUGAGACAAUAUUGGACAACGUAUACGUAUAAACGCUAAAGGUACAAAUACUCAUUUUGGAGAGCCGCCAACUUAGGAUUCUACUCAACGAGUUUGAAGUGCUCCAUUGUCUCGGAGCCCAAACUUUGGGUACUAAUCCUUAUAAUGUAUAUAUUUGUGUAUUUAGGGGUACGACGGGGCCCUGUCCCGUCAUAUGCUAUUGUUAAUUCUCUUAGAGGUCUGUAGACAUAUGAGUGGGUUGUAUAUAGAUGUUGUCCGGUGUACUAGUAUGACUUAUGUUUUUGGACGUUUACAUUCAGAAUGGAAGCCUUGUCGGCUUACAUAUUAUGUUAUCUUAUUUUUGACAAUUAAGACUCCCCAAGAAAUAGGUGAUUUUAGUAUAUAUAUAAGUAACAGUUUGAGACAACGUGCUACCCAUAUAAAUCCUUUAUCAUGCUUAAUUGCCGAUUGACUAUAGAUAAUAUGUGUGUAUACGAGGGUCCAAUUUGGACACUAGUCACGGGGCUAGGUC